AACUAAUUUGCAUCUGUACAUAUUCACGAUGUGCUAGAACAGCUUGUGUCUGUGUGUGUGUGUCUGCUGGGGAGAGGGAAGCUGCAUGCAAUGAGGAGCACACUGUGGCUGUGGUUCUGGAUUGCAGUCUGGAUCAGGUAAGAGACCGUGGUGAAUGAAUUUGGUGGAGAUGGGGGACGAGGACUUUGAAAAGGAUCUCUCGGUUAUACUGUAGUGGAGUCAUCAUUAAAAGUAUCUCGCCAGUGUGUCCUAGGGUUUUGAAAGGAGAGGAGCGGACGAGAAUGGGUCACUACAUAUUCACUCUGGGCACCAAGCUGGUAAUAACAGCCCAUCAGCUCCCUGCACCUUCAGUGGUGGUCUUUCCACCUUCAGAAGAAGAGCUUGUCUCUAAAGGAACGGCCACUCUGGUUUGCCUGGUGAGCAAGCUGCCCGGGGCUCUCGUUGGCAUCAGCUGGACAGCCAAUCAGAUGGCAGUGACCAGCGAAGUCUUGCCCAGCCGGCCCUCCAGGGAGUCUGACGGCACCUUCAGUGUGAGCAGCUGCCUGACCAUCUCUGCGGCAGAGUGGAGGGAGGACAGAGUCUAUUCCUGUAUCGUACAGCAGGGGGACUCGCUCACCCAGCGCUCCAUACAACAAUCUCACUGCUGAGUGGUGCUAGUAAUUAUAGAGUAGCUUUACGUUCUGUGCUCUUCUCUUAGAAAGGUGCAUGCUAUCAGUCUGUGGUUCUUAUUGCAAGUUCUCAAAUAUUGUGUUUUAUUAUUUUUAAGUCUGUGUAUUUUGUUGCCUGCCAUAGACUAGAUCAGCCAACAUGUAUUUUUAUUGGUAAGCGCCAGCAUCAUCAAGUGUACUGCUGUGCAUUCCCAGCAAAACAAAUACAAACGUGAGAUUAAAAGA